GGUUUGGGAGAUUGUUAGCCCUUCUCCUGCUUCUUCAAGGCUAUGUUUUCAUAUACACUAUAAAGUUACAGAAUGUCUUUUAACGAUUGUGCUUGUCGCAGUCAUUAAACCUUAUACAACUUUCAGCAACGGAUCUCUUGGCUCUCCUAUCGAUGAAGAACGCAGCGAAAUGCGAUAAGUAAUGUGAAUUGCAGAAUUCAGUGAAUCAUCGAAUCUUUGAACGCACCUUGCGCCCUUUGGUAUUCCGAAGGGCAUGCCUGUUUGAGUGUCAUUAAAUUAUCAACCUUAGCUCUCUUUUGAGUUCAAGGCUUGGAUGUGAGGGCUUUGCUGGCUUCCUUCAGUGGAUGGUCUGCUCCCUUUAAAUGCAUUAGUGGGAUCUCUUGUGGACCGUCACUUGGUGUGAUAAUUAUCUAUGCCAUUUGACUUUGAANCAAACUUAUGGGAACCUGCUUAUAACCGUCCUUUGGGACAAUAUUUGACAUUUUGACCUCNAAUCANGUAGGACUACCCCCUGAACUUAAUCAUAU
rnacentral:rRNA from 1 species